rnacentral:rRNA from 1 species
UACGUAGGGUGCAAGCGUUGUCCGGAUUUAUUGGGCGUAAAGAGCUCGUAGGCGGUUUGUUACGUCGGAUGUGAAAUCCUGGAGCUUAACUCCGGGCCUGCAUUCGAUACGGGCAGACUCGAGUGUUGUAGGGGAGACUGGAACUCCUGGUGUAGCAGUGAAAUGCGUAGAUAUCGUGAGGAAGACCAGUGGCGAAGGCGGAUCUCUGGACAGCUCCUGACGCUGAGGCGCGAAGGCUAGGGGAGCAAACGGG